rnacentral:rRNA from 1 species
AUUGAACGCUGGCGGCAUGCUUUACACAUGCAAGUCGAACGGUAACAGGCCGCAAGGUGCUGACGAGUGGCGAACGGGUGAGUAAUGCAUCGGAACGUGCCCAGUCGUGGGGGAUAACGCAGCGAAAGCUGCGCUAAUACCGCAUACGAUCUCUGGAUGAAAGCGGGGGACCGAAAGGCCUCGCGCGAUUGGAGCGGCCGAUGUCAGAUUAGGUAGUUGGUGGGGUAAAGGCUCACCAAGCCAACGAUCUGUAGCUGGUCUGAGAGGACGACCAGACACACUGGGACGGGGACACGGCCCAGACUCCUACGGGAGGCAGCAGUGGGGAAUUUUGGACAAUGGGCGCAAGCCUGAUCCAGCAAUGCCGCGUGCAGGAAGAAGGCCUUCGGGUUGUAAACUGCUUUUGUACGGAACGAAACGGUCCUGGUUAAUACCCGGGGCUAAUGACGGUACCGUAAGAAUAAGUACCGGCUAACUACGUGCCAGCAGCCGCAGUAA